rnacentral:rRNA from 1 species
CCGAAACCCGGUGAUCUAGCCAUGGGCAGGUUGAAGGUUGGGUAACACUAACUGGAGGACCGAACCGACUAAUGUUGAAAAAUUAGCGGAUGACCUGUGGCUGGGGGUGAAAGGCCAAUCAAACCGGGAGAUAGCUGGUUCUCCCCGAAAGCUAUUUAGGUAGCGCCUCGUGAAUUCAUCUCCGGGGGUAGAGCACUGUUUCGGCUAGGGGGCCAUCCCGGCUUACCAACCCGAUGCAAACUGCGAAUACCGGAGAAUGUUAUCACGGGAGACACACGGCGGGUGCUAACGUCCGUCGUGAAGAGGGAAACAACCCAGACCGCCAGCUAAGGUCCCAAAGUCAUGGUUAAGUGGGAAACGAUGUGGGAAGGCCCAGACAGCCAGGAUGUUGGCUUAGAAGCAGCCAUCAUUUAAAGAAAGCGUAAUAGCUCACUGGUCGAGUCGGCCUGCGCGGAAGAUGUAACGGGGCUAAACCAUGCACCGAAGCUGCGGCAGCGACACUGUGUGUUGUUGGGUAGGGGAGCGUUCUGUAAGCCUGUGAAGGUGUGUCGUGAGGCAUGCUGGAGGUAUCAGAAGUGCGAAUGCUGACAUAAGUAACGAUAAAGCGGGUGAAAAGCCCGCUCGCCGGAAGACCAAGGGUUCCUGUCCAACGUUAAUCGGGGCA